AAGCAACCUUGUUGGCAUUGGCAGGGCUCAAAAGACUAAAUAUGACGGAGACUGUUACAGAAAUUCUCUCUGUCGAGGACAUGCUUCCAGCGAUCGCACAAGGUGCUAUUGGAAUAGCUUGCAGAACCGACGAUGAUAAAAUGAGUAAUUAUCUAGCUUCCCUGAACCACGAGGAGACCAGAUUGGCUAUUGCUUGUGAGAGGGCAUUUCUUGAGACAUUGGAUGGUUCUUGUCGCACUCCGAUUGCAGGGUAUGCUUAUCAGGACAAGGACGGGAAUUGCAUAUUCAGAGGAUUGGUGGCUUCACCUGAUGGAACUCGAGUUCUGGAGACGACGAGAGAAGGCCCUUUUGCCCACGAUGACAUGGUUUUAAUGGCUAAAGACGCCGGAAAAGAAUUGCUUACCAAGGGCGGCCCAAACUUCUUUAAUUGGUAAUCUGUCUGUCCACAGAAGGAAAAGCAAGAUGAGAAGAGAUGGAUAAAAUCGCGGCGUCGUUUUUAGUUUUCAUUUUUUAUUUUUCUUGAUUCGGUAGGUGUGUGGGUUGUAACAUCAAUGUUGUAUUCCCAAGUAGGCAAGGAUAGUGGCAAUUAACUCA
rnacentral:misc_RNA from 1 species